GUGGGACAGUUAAAUAGGAGUCAUCAGUAAUCUGAUGGACAGAGACAUGUGAGACAGUUAAAUAGGAGUCAUCAUUAAUCUGACGGACAGAGACACACAUGUGAGACAGUUAAAUAGGAGUCAUCAGUAAUCUGACGGAUAGAGUCACAGUGAGACAGU